CAUGCAAGUCGAACGGCAGCACAGUGUGUAGCAAUACACAUGGGUGGCGAGUGGCGGACGGGUGAGUAAUGCUUAGGAAUCUGCCCAAUGGUGGGGGAUAACUAACCGAAAGGUUAGCUAAUACCGCAUACGCCUUUACGGGGAAAGCGGGGGAUCGAAAGACCUCGCGCCGAUGGAUGAGCCUAAGUCCGAUUAGCUAGUUGGUAGGGUAAUGGCCUACCAAGGCGACGAUCGGUAGCUGGUCUGAGAGGACGGCCAGCCACACUGGAACUGAGACACGGUCCAGACUCCUACGGGAGGCAGCAGUGGGGAAUAUUGGACAAUGGGGGAAACCCUGAUCCAGCAAUGCCGCGUGUGUGAAGAAGGCCUGCGGGUUGUAAAGCACUUUCGGUUGGGAAGAAAAGUUUGGCGCUAAUACCGCCGAACCUUGACG
rnacentral:rRNA from 1 species